CCUUCAUAUGAAAACUUUUCAUAGACAUCUUGGUUGCAUGUCGGUAACUACUUUCUUGUUCGUAUUCUACACGCCCUAUAUUUUAUGCUUAUCUGUUCGUUUUCGGUUUCAACUGUCUGAAAUCCAUAUAUGGUUUAAAACCGAGACACACCGGAUGCGAUUCGAGAACGCGGCGCGAUUUUCAGGCUUUGAAAGUUAAUAAAACAGCCAAUGAAAGGAAAUUUUAAACGAUAUGUAGAGCAAAUAACUUGAGAAAUCGCGGCGCCUUAUCGAAUGGCGUCGGGUAUAGUUAGUUUAAUUAUGUACUGUACUUCUGGUGGCGUGAUCACCACAAUAAAUGAACAACAAAGAUCUAAGACCUCGAAAACAAAGAGUACGAAAGCUAAGACCUCUUAAUUCUAUGAUGAUUAUAAAUUUCUCGAUCUCAUGUGCUAGGCAAUAAUAUGUUUAUUAUCAUUGCCAAUGGAGCUGGAAUGUCAAGUGAGCAAGUGUUGACAUACUAUCUACAUCCGCUCAUUGCAAUGGUUUUGGCACAAACAACUAAAUUGCGCAACAGUCUGCGUACUUUUACAUUAUGAUAUUUAAAUAUUUUGCGCUCUCACGAAGCAUAGUGCGUCUUAUGCACUGAUCUAAUAUUAGAUCAGUGGUCUUAUGAAAUGAAUUAAUCAAUUCGUCUGAUAAAUUAUAUUCACCCUAGCCAUGUGAACAUCAGUGAUUCGUGUGUUCGAAUAUCCGGGGGGUCCCGUGCGUCACACAUACUUCAGGGCAGACGGAGUCCUGUUACGCCCUACCAUCAGUCACUACAGCUGUUGAAGAUUUUAGAGAUUUUAUUGACACCGAGAUAUAUGUUGGAACAAAGUAUUAUAAUUAUUGAAUCAGAAAUCAAACCGCCAAGUUUGGAAAUAGGCACAUUUCAUGUCUUUUGCGGGUAUCAUUGCUUUCGGAAAUGG